rnacentral:rRNA from 1 species
GACAGAGGGGGCAAGCGUUGCUCGGAAUUACUGGGCGUAAAGGGCGCGUAGGCGGGAUGGCAAGUCGGUCGUGAAAUCCCUCGGCUCAACCGAGGAACGUCGAUCGAUACUGCUGUUCUUGAGGAUUGCAGAGGAGACUGGAAUUCCCGGUGUAGCGGUGAAAUGUGGUAGAUAUCAGGAGGAACACCGGUGGCGAAAGGCGGCUAUCUGGACAGA